GGCCUUGUAGUUGAAGAAAAACAUUAAAUUGCAAAUUUAAAAGUGCUGUAUAUGAGCUUAGGCUU
rnacentral:tRNA from 1 species